UGGUAGCCUGCGAUAAGCCUCGGGGAGCUGGCAAACGAGCUGUGAUCCGAGGGUGUCCGAAUGGGGGAACCCCGCCGCAGUCAUGUGCGGUGACCCACACCUGAAUAUAUAGGGUGUGUGGAGGGAACGUCGGGAAGUGAAACAUCUCAGUACCGACAGGAAGAGAUAUUCCGUGAGUAGUGGCGAGCGAAAGCGGAUGAGGCCAAACCGUCCUCGUGUGAUAGCCGGCAGGCGUUG
rnacentral:rRNA from 1 species